rnacentral:rRNA from 1 species
GAUGAACGCUGGCGGCGUGCCUAAUACAUGCAAGUCGAGCGAACAGAUGAGGAGCUUGCUCCUCUGACGUUAGCGGCGGGCGGGUGAGUAACACGUGGAUAACCUACCUAUAAGACUGGGAUAACUUCGGGAAACCGGAGCUAGUACCGGAUAAUAUAUUGAACCGCAUGGUUCAAUAGUGAAAGACGGUUUUGCUGUCACUUAUAGAUGGAUCCGCGCCGCAUUAGCUAGUUGGUAAGGUAACGGCUUACCAAGGCAACGAUGCGUAGCCGACCUGAGAGGGUGAUCGGCCACACUGGAACUGAGACACGGUCCAGACUCCUACGGGAGGCAGCAAUAGGGAAUCUUCCGCAAUGGGCGAAAGCCCGACGGAGCAACGCCGCGUGAGUGAUGAAGGUCUUCGGAUCGUAAAACUCUGUUAUUAGGGAAGAACAAAUGUGUAAGUAACUAUGCACGUCUUGACGGUACCUAAUCAGAAAGCCACGGCUAACUACGUG